rnacentral:rRNA from 1 species
GUGGGGAAUCUUGCGCAAUGGGCGAAAGCCUGACGCAGCCAUGCCGCGUGAAUGAUGAAGGUCUUAGGAUUGUAAAAUUCUUUCACCGGGGACGAUAAUGACGGUACCCGGAGAAGAAGCCCCGGCUAACUUCGUGCCAGCAGCUGCGGUAAUACGAAGGGGGCUAGCGUUGCUCGGAAUUACUGGGCGUAAAGGGCGCGUAGGCGGACAGUUUAGUCAGAGGUGAAAGCCCAGGGCUCAACCUUGGAGUUGCCUUUGAUACUGGCUGUCUUGAGUACGGGAGAGGGGAGUGGAACUCCGAGUGUAGAGGUGAAAUUCGUAGAUAUUCGGAAGAACACCAGUGGCGAAGGCGACUCACUGGCCCGUUACUGACGCUGAGGCGCGAAAGCGUGGGGAGCAAACAGGAUUAGAAACCCCUGUAGUCC